rnacentral:rRNA from 1 species
UACGGAGGAUGCAAGCGUUAUCCGGAUUCAUUGGGUUUAAAGGGUGCGUAGGCGGGAUAGCAAGUCAGUGGUGAAAGCCUACAGCUUAACUGUAGAAUUGCCAUUGAUACUGUUAUCCCUGAGUGCAGUUGAGGUAGCUGGAAUGCGUGGUGUAGCGGUGAAAUGCUUAGAUAUCACGCAGAACACCGAUUGCGAAGGCAGGUUACUAAACUGCAACUGACGCUGAGGCACGAAAGCGUGGGGAGCAAACAGG